rnacentral:rRNA from 1 species
GACGAACGCUGGCGGCGUGCCUAAUACAUGCAAGUCGAACGCAUUUUCUUUCACCGUAGCUUGCUACACCGAAAGAAAAUGAGUGGCGAACGGGUGAGUAACACGUGGGUAACCUGCCCAUCAGCGGGGGAUAACACUUGGAAACAGGUGCUAAUACCGCAUAAUUCCAUUUACCGCAUGGUAAAUGGAUGAAAGGCGCUUUUGCGUCACUGAUGGAUGGACCCGCGGUGCAUUAGCUAGUUGGUGGGGUAACGGCCUACCAAGGCUGCGAUGCAUAGCCGACCUGAGAGGGUGAUCGGCCACACUGGGACUGAGACACGGCCCAGACUCCUACGGGAGGCAGCAGUAGGGAAUCUUCGGCAAUGGACGCAAGGCUGACCGAGCAACGCCGCGUGAGUGAAGAAGGUUUUCGGAUCGUAAAACUCUGUUGUUAGAGAAGAACAAGGAUGAGAGUGGAAAGUUCAUCCCUUGACGGUAUCUAACCAGAAAGCCACGGCUAACUACGUG